rnacentral:lncRNA from 1 species
ACCCGUUUGUUUGACCGGAUUAGGGGGGACUGGAUUGGACUAGAUUGUAGUCCCUUGUUUGUUCUGCACCAGGAUUAGGUUUAAUGGGAUUAAAUGGGACUCGCUCGGAUUAAGGGGUUCGCUAGGAGUUCUUAGCCGAGAACCCCAAAUUCGGCCGGACUCGCAAGACCUUCCGCGAGAGAAAACCUCGCUCAUCCUGCGAGAGAGAGAGUUGUCGCCAUCGCUCCCUGCUUGCCUUGCUCCCUCAUCCUCGUCGUCUUCACCCUCAUCUCUGCGUCUUGCUUGCCUUCAUCUGCAUCUUGCUCGCCCUUAUCUGCUCUUCUUGCCUGGUAAACUUCGAAUCUUCGAUUUAUUUCUUCAAUUUGUUUUGCAGAUCGUGAUAUUACUAAGCUUUAUUUGAUUUAAUUGUUUUGGGUUUGAGAAAUUUUCAAUAAUAUACCUCUAUAGUUGAACAAAUUAGAGUUUUGAUUUUUAGGGUCAAAUUGCAGAUCCUGCUCGCCCUGCUCCUCCACCUUCUUCUCAGGCGACCUCUCAGGAACACUCCAACCAAAUCGCCUCCUCCUCCCCCUGUUCGAUCCCAGUCAAAGUAACCCUCUCUCUCUCUGUCUCUCACUCUUACUCUGGUUCUUUUGAAUUUGCAGUAAUGUGUGUGUGUGUGUGUAUGUAUGCAGUGUGUGUGUGUAUGUAUGCAGUGUGUGUGUGUAUGUAUGUAUGCAG